rnacentral:rRNA from 1 species
UGAGGAAUAUUGGUCAAUGGACGAAAGUCUGAACCAGCCAUGCCGCGUGCAGGAUGACGGCCCUACGGGUUGUAAACUGCUUUUAUAUAGGAAGAAACCCCUUUACGUGUAAAGGGUUGACGGUACUAUAAGAAUAAGGACCGGCUAACUCCGUGCCAGCAGCCGCGGUAAUACGGAGGGUCCAAGCGUUAUCCGGAUUUAUUGGGUUUAAAGGGUACGUAGGCGGAGUAAUAAGUCAGUAGUGAAAGCCUGUGGCUUAACCAUAGAACUGCUAUUGAUACUGUUACUCUUGAAUGUAGUUGAAGUAGGCGGAAUACGGCAUGUAGCGGUGAAAUGCAUAGAUAUGCCGUGGAACACCAAUCGCGAAGGCAGCUUACUAAGCUAUUAUUGACGCUAAGGUACGAAAGCGUGGGGAGCGAACAGGAUUAGAUACCCGUGUAGUCC